rnacentral:rRNA from 1 species
UACGUAGGGGGCAAGCGUUGUCCGGAAUCAUUGGGCGUAAAGAGCGUGUAGGCGGCCAUACAGGUCAGCUGUGAAAACUCGAGGCUCAACCUCGAGACGUCGGUUGAAACCGUUUGGCUAGAGUCCGGAAGAGGAGAGUGGAAUUCCCGGUGUAGCGGUGAAAUGCGCAGAUAUCGGGAAGAACACCCGUGGCGAAGGCGGCUCUCUGGGACGGUACUGACGCUGAGACGCGAAAGCGUGGGGAGCGAACAGG